AAAAAAAAAAAAAAAAAAAGAUGAAAAUUGAAGUAGCUUCAAACCAUCCAAGUCAAUCUUAGGCCGAGCAAAACUACAUUUAGAAUUGAGAUUCUGCUAGCCUGAAAAGCAUGCAAGGCAGACGAUCCAAGCUGAGUCUGGAAACUGUAGAACUUCAAAAUCGAUGUGAAAAACACUCAACACAUUGGAUGAUACCAAGGGGGAAAGGAGGCUGAUCACAUCAAGAAAUAAAUUGAGAUGGCACUCAUAUUGUGCCAUAGGAUCAAAUAAACAGCGGUGGAUCUGCGAUCUGUUACCACCACAGUAUGCUGGUCUCACUUUGAUCCAGGGUCCGACAAUAUCAAAUUUAACAACAACAGUCCAACUGCAGUGGUCCAACCCUCCAACUAAAACUGACAGCUGGUGCAUAACUGCCCAAUCUAAGUGGCGGUAACACCAACUGUCAACUAAUUAUUGUAACUAACAGUAUGUUCAGAGUAGCUUUCAGAAUUGUUUCUUUCAAUAGUUUUAUAUAAAUUAAUUCCUGCAAAAUUUCCAUAGGUCUCCUAUAUUCUUAUUACUGCAAGGGCUUUGGAACUUGUCAAUAUUUUUUAUGUUAUAAAUUUUUUAUAGCAGAACUCAUAAAAUUUUAUUUCUAAGUCUAUUUUGGAUGUUCUCUCGACAUCAGGAUUUUUGUGCAAGUUUAGAUGAAUCACGUAACAAUGUUGUGGAUUCUGUGAAAAUGUUCCAUGAUAAGUUAGCUAGUGAAUUUUGGAGAGCCACGGGCA
rnacentral:lncRNA from 1 species